rnacentral:rRNA from 1 species
AGUGAACGCUGGCGGUAGGCCUAACACAUGCCAGUCGAACGGCAGCACAGUAAGAGCUUGCUCUUACGGGUGGCGAGUGGCGGACGGGUGAGGAAUACAUCGGAAUCUACUUUUUCGUGGGGGAUAACGUAGGGAAACUUACGCUAAUACCGCAUACGACCUACGGGUGAAAGCAGGGGAUCUUCGGACCUUGCGCGAUUGAAUGAGCCGAUGUCGGAUUAGCUAGUGGGCGGGGUAAAGGCCCACCAAGGCGACGAGCCGUAGCUGGUCUGAGAGGAUGAUCAGCCACACUGGAACUGAGACACGGUCCAGACUCCUACGGGAGGCAGCAGUGGGGAAUAUUGGACAAUGGGCGCAAGCCUGAUCCAGCCAUACCGCGUGGGUGAAGAAGGCCUUCGGGUUGUAAAGCCCUUUUGUUGGGAAAGAAAAGCAGCAGGUUAAUACCCCGCUGUUCUGACGGUACCCAAAGAAUAAGCACCGGCUAACUUCGUG